GACGAACGCUGGCGGCGUGCCUAAUACAUGCAAGUAGGACGAAGUUGCGAACGGGUGAGUAACGCGUGGGUAACUACCUAUUAGAGGGGGAUAACUAUUGGAAACGAUAGCUAAUACCGCAUACGAGUAGAUGGACCUGCGUUGUAUUAGCUAGUAGGGAGGGUAAUGGCCUACCUAGGCAACGAUACAUAGCCGACCUGAUAGUGUGAUCGGCCACACUGGGACUGAGACACGGCCCAGACUCCUACGGGAGGCAGCAGUAGGGAAUCUUCGGCAAUUGGGGGAACCCUGACCGAGCAACGCCGCGUGAGUGAAGAAGGUUUUCGGAUCGUAAAGCUCUGUUGUUAAGUAAGCGUUACUUAACCAGAAAGGGCCGGCUAACUACGUGCCAGCAGCCGCGGUAAUAC
rnacentral:rRNA from 1 species